GGGCACAGGCUGCUGUUCAGGGUUAAAAUGGGUAGAAGCAGGUUAAGGUGGGGGUAAGGGGGUAGGAAAUGGAUCGUCAAUGUGUGUUUCCCAGGGGUAUAGUGAAACAAGUUUGUGUGUGUCGGUGUGUGUUUGUGAUCUCUAAAUCGACCUGCACUGCCAUUCAAAUUUACACGUGUAAUAAAACUGUAGUAAAGCUCAGACGCAUUUUCGUAAAUAUCAGCCAUUCUGACAUAAAAUCGUAAGUAAACACAGAUGUUACUUAUCACACGAAUGAAGGUUCCGAUCCAUUUAGGUACCGAGUCUUAUUUAACAUUAUUUACACCAACCAAACUGAGCAAAUCAUCAUGAAGUCCAGAGUUUAUUUAACCAAUGCUGCUGAUCCAAUUCCCCGAUCCCCAUGAAGCCUCAUAUGUUAUGACCGUGGCUCAGGGGGAUGCAACAUUUCUCUGUGUGUCUCCUGCAUAGAGAAGAGAAACAUCUUGAUGAUCUUCCUCCCACUUUGCUGAAUGGUCCUAUGGUUUGAUUAGCAACUAUUCCCAGUGUUCAGUUAGUCAGGAUGUUCUCAUAUCGACCGAGAUAGAAGGUAAGUCUUCUCACAAAAUGGAUCCUCUGCGUCCUUUAGUUUUACAAUUCAAUUCAAUAUACAUUAUCUCAAGGCACUUUAAAAAGAAGGCCAAGACCUUAAAAUUACAGAGAAAUGUCUCAGAUUGGUAAUGUAUUGAUAUAUGUUGUUUAUUGUACAGACAAAUCAUCCGUUCCUCCAUCUAUCCACCUGCUGUGACCUCAGUAAACGGUUGAAUGCCUCUUGGAUCAAUGUGUUGGAAAGGUGCACACCUGUGACCCAGUUUCUUUAAACUACCGGAACAAGUAACAUUCAAAUCAGCACCUUCAGAGUUAGUUGAAGAACAUUUGGCCCCAGGGAACAUGAGAGUAACCAAACCUGCACAGACCUAUACAAGAACACCAUGUACCAAAAGGCAUAAGCAUCAGCUGUGGUGCAGCUGGGGCGAGGGAGACGGAUGAAAAACGUGAGAAAGGCAGUGACUCAUCACAGCUUGCUUCAACACUGCCUCCAUCUGUACUCAUGCAGAGACAUGCCAUCCUGGAUAUACAAAACCAAUCCUAUAGGCGGACUCAUUUAAGUUUCAUCAGGCGGCUCCUGAGCGACUGGGGGAGGGAGUCUACUCAAAUGCAGCCUGAGGGAGGAGAGGAGCUGCUGGUAUCAGCUCGAGCCGCGGCUGACGACAGAGUGGAGCUUCGUCUCAUCUCCCGUCCCUCUGCGCUCCUCCUCAUCAAUUUAUGAGCAAAGUAAAGAGUGUUUAAGUGGUCUGUUUUCCUUAUUACUGCAGAUAAGAGGUCAACAAUCAAACGGCAGGGCCAGGAUAACCUGCUGCAGGGCUCUGGGCAUAUGUAAGCUGAAGUAAUUACUAAGUAAGACUUUCAGUUUAUUUUGUGCUGAAGCUGUCAAGCAAAGUAACUCCGGGAAUAUGAUAUUCCUUAUCGUUCAAGUGAGUUCAUAAACUAGUAUCAGUUUCUGUGUGUAACUGAACAUAUCAUUUGAUAUAUGAUAUGAUCAUGUGAUUUGCAUUGGCAGGGCAGCUGAAACCAUGUUUUCCAGUCAUUGCUCUAUCCUCUUAAUAUCAGUGCAAAUGCAUUUUAAGUAUCAUACAUCCAAAGUGUAAUAUAAACCAUUAAAUCUAGAACCGCAGAUGCAACGUUACAAUUAAGGUUAUAGUAGGCCUGUGUGUGUGUGUGUGUGUGUGUGUGUGUGUGUGUGUGUGUGUGUGUGUGUGUGUGUGUGUGUGAGACUGGGUAAGUACAUGAGACUUAACAGAUUGUUUUACAGUGUUUAGGCUGUUAUUUGUGUCAAUAUGUCUCAGCAAUGCUGAACAAAUCUGAGCGUGGGAGUGUCGGAGUGCCGCCUCAUGUGGGCUUAGUGUGUGUGUGUGUGUUUGUGUGUGAGAGAGAGAGAGAGUGUGGGAGAGUGAACACGAUGUACCCAGGCACAGUUUUCCUGGGCAGCGUCCAACUGUAGGAGUCUGCUUGCAGCUAUGUGCUUUGGGGACACCUCCUGUCACGUCUGUCCUAAUCUCUGUACUCACUCGAACCUGAUCUGCCCAUGUGACCUCCCCUCACCCCCACUGAUACCCCUCCAACGCCCUUGAUUUCCUGUCUUCUCACCUCUUGCCUCUCCUGCUGCCCUUUCACUCCAAACCUGACCCGAGUUCUUUCAUGCUUCAGCAGCUGCUCCAUGGUUUUUAUACAGCACCAUAAACGCCCCACACACCCCACCUUGCCUUUGCCCUUGUAUUGCGUCCGUUCUCACUUCUCCUCUGAGGGUUUGGUUAUGUAAGGUGAAUGCUGCCUCCUGUGCCAAGCGUGCCGGCUGGCGCCAGUGGCAUAAAGACAAAACAGAACCCCCCCCAAAAUACACACUGACAAACACACACACACACACUCACACACUCAUACACUUAAGCACUACAACAACACAUGCACUGAGAAUUUAAAGUGGUAAUCCUUGAGAUCCUCUCGUUUUUAUUUUGGCAACUAGUCUGGUGCUAAGUGCUUUUGUAACUCUGUGGUCAGGAUCUUUCUGUUGAUGAAGUAAAUAACUACACUUCUUCUUCUAUUUCCAAAAAAAGACGGCCUCUGUGCCAGGCUAUUUCUCCCAGGAGAGACGGGGGAGAGGACUGGGUACGGUGUGGCAGUGUCAGCCUGGCUGCCAGUUUGUCCCGGAGCAGAAGCUCCUCUGGAUUACACUCUUCCCACGAGGAGGAGGGAGGCGGGUCCAACAAGAUAGAGAAACACUGAUACAGAGCGGGGCCAUGUGGUGGAGAGAGUGAGCAGGGGAGAUGAACAAGGGAAUGAGGGAAACGCUGGGAUGAGCGAGGGAAAUCUGGGUUUAAGAGCUUUACCGCGCUUUAACACGAGCAAAUUAUUCUGAGCCUGCAAACAAUGGAGCCAAGAGAGGAAGAGGACUCAGCUGAGAUCAACACCAUGUAGGAAUUAAUGAAGUUCUCUGCCAACACACAGCAGAGAGCUCCACAAUCUGGAGGCUGGAGACACUCUCCCAAUUGUGUUUCCAUAAAACACAAGUGUCUCACACUUCAUUUUCCAAUAAUUACUGCUGCACUGACUUAGACAAUUCGUGUCAGUUUUAGUGAUUUGUCAAGGAAUUGACAAAAGUUGAGAAAAAAACACUUAUGUGCAGAGAACCUCACUUACGUCAAUAUGUACCUAAUGCUUUUUUUUAAAUUUCUAUAUUACACAACUGUGCCUAAUUGUGGUGGAACAAAGACCAGGAUCCUUUACUUAAGUAAAAGUACAGAUACCACAAUGUAAAUUUUAUAAUAAAAUUUAAAAAAUGCUUUCAUCAAUAUUUCUAUAUAAAUGGGUUAUGAAAUGAGCAGUUUCCGGUGACGAAACCACAGAAAAUCUAAUUCUGCAGUUGUUUCUUUAGCAUCUUUUAGCUCAUUGUUUUGGUUUUAAAGUCCACAAACUGUUGUUGUGAACAGCAGGGAUUUGAACUGAAACCUUAAAAUAAAUGGCUUGUACACAACCUGUUCAGCACCUUACUGUCCACAGAAUGUUAGCUACCUGCUGGUGAACAGAUGUGGAGCGUUUAGCAGCCAAAGAGCCAGGUAUUAUUCUCAGGAGUCUAUGGACACAAAUGAACAGUGGUGAAGGAAGUACUCAAACAUUUUGCUUAAGUAAAAGUACACCACAAAAAUUAUAUUCUAAAAAUGUAGUGAUGUAGAAAGUACAGAAAGUUGAGUAAAGUGAAAAGUAACCGAAAAUAAAUACUUAAGUACAGAUACAUAAAAAAUAUGUACUAAGGUGCAGUUACAAAGUAAAUGUACUUAAUUACGUCCCACUGCUGCUGUGUAUCUACUUCUUGUGUAAUUGAGCACCUGUUUGCAAACACUUUUACACAACCAACUAUA